rnacentral:rRNA from 1 species
GCGGCCACUGCUAUCAAGUUCCGACUAAGCCAUGCGAGUCAAGGUAUCGUAAGAUGCCGGCAAACUGCUCAGUAACACGUGGAUAAUCUAACCUUGAGUAAGGGAUAACUUCGGGAAACUGAAGGUAAUACCUUAUAAUUGCUUAAAACUGGAAUGUUUUUGCAAUAAAAGUUACGACGCUCGAGGAUGAGUCUGCGACCUAUCAGGUAGUAGGUGGUGUAAUGGACCACCUAGCCUCAGACGGGUACGGGCCCUGGGAGGGGUAGCCCGGAGAUGGACUCUGAGACAUAAGUCCAGGCCCUACGGGGCGCAGCAGGCACGAACACUGUGCAAUGCGCGAAAGCGCGACACGGGGAGCUUGAGUGUCUUGGCAUAGCCAAGACUUUUCUCAUUCCUAAAAAGCAUGAGGAAUAAGUGCUGGGUAAGACGGGUGCCAGCCGCCGCGGUAACACCCGCAGCACGAGUAGUGGUCACUUUUAUUGAGCCUAAAGCGUUCGUAGCCGGUUUUGUAAAUCUUCAGAUAAAGCCUGAAGCUUAACUCCAGAAAGUCUGAAGAGACUGCAAGACUUGAGAUCGGGUGAGGUUAAACGUACUUUCAGGGUAGGGGUAAAAUCCUGUAAUCCCGGAAGGACGACCAGUGGCGAAAGCGUUUAACUAGAACGAAUCUGACGGUAAGGAACGAAGGCUAGGGUAGCAAACCGGAUUAGAUACCCGGGUAGUCCUAGCUGUAAACAUUGCCCAUUUGAUGUUGCUUUUCCGUUGAGGGAAGGCAGUGUCGGAGCGAAGGUGUUAAAUGGGCCGCUUGGGAAGUAUGGUCGCAAGACUGAAACUUAA